CGGCUUAGAGUUUGAUCCUGGCUCAGAUUGGACGCUGGCGGCAUGCCUAACACAUGCAAGUCGAACGGUAACAGGUCUUCGGAUGCUGACGAGUGGCGGACGGGUGAGUAAUGCGUAGGAAUCUGUCUUUUAGUGGGGGACAACCCAGGGAAACUUGGGCUAAUACCGCAUGAGCCCUGAGGGGGAAAGCGGGGGAUCUUCGGACCUCGCGCUAAGAGAGGAGCCUACGUCCGAUUAGCUAGUUGGCGGGGUAAAGGCCCACCAAGGCGACGACCGGUAGCUGGUCUGAGAGGACGACCAGCCACACUGGGACUGAGACACGGCCCAGACUCCUACGGGAGGCAGCAGUGGGGAAUUUUUCGCAAUGGGGGCAACCCUGACGAAGCAAUGCCGCGUGGAUGAAGAAGGCCUUCGGGUUGUAAAGUCCUUUCGUGGAGGACGAAAAGGUGGGUUCUAAUACAAUCUGCUAUUGACGUGAAUCCNAGAAGAAGCACCGGCUAACUCCGUGCCAGCAGCCGCGGUAAUGCGGG
rnacentral:rRNA from 1 species